rnacentral:rRNA from 1 species
AUGGGGUUCAAACCACUGGAGUGGUACUGUCAGCCAGUGAAGGAUGGGGCAUGGUCUCAUGCCGUCGAAAGCGCGUUUGGUGCAUACACACCCUGCGGCAUUGACACCCUGGUGGUGUGCAUCUCGUACCUCACACUUUUUGGCGUUUGCUUCUAUCGGACAUGGAGGACGACGAAAGACUACAAGGUGCAGAGGUACAAGUUACGCUCGCCGUACUACAACUAUCUGCUUGGGCUGCUUGUUGUGCACUGCAUAGCAGAGCCGCUGUACAGGAUCGCCACGGGUACCUCCAUCAUGAACUUGGAUGGGCAGUCUGGCCUUGCUCCAUUUGAGAUUACUUCACUGGUCAUCGAGUCUGCUGCCUGGUGCUGUAUGCUUAUAAUGCUAUUGCUGGAGACAAAAAUUUACAUCACCGAGUUAAGAUGGUACAUCCGGUUUGUGGUCAUAUAUGUAUUGGUUGGUGAAGCUGCUAUGUUCAAUCUUGUGCUUCCAGUGAGGCAUUACUACAGUUCAAGUUCAAUAUUCUACCUAUACUGCAGCGAGAUAAUAUGCCAGUGCAUAUUUGGAAUUCUUAUGCUGGUGUAUCUGCCUAGCUUGGAUCCCUACCUGGGUUAUACUCCAAUCAGGAGUGAGGUGCUUGUUGAUAAUACUGAUUAUGAACCUCUGGCAGGAGGGGAGCAGAUUUGUCCCGAAAGGCAUGCCAAUAUAUUUUCCUGGAUAUUCUUUUCAUGGAUGACUCCUCUAAUGCAACAAGGAUACAGUAGGCCCAUCAUUGAUAAUGAUAUUUGGAAACUAGAUAAUUGGGAUGAGACUGAAACAUUGUAUAGCCGAUUUCAGAAAUGCUGGAAUGAUGAACUUCAAAAACCAAAACCUUGGCUGCUACGAGCUCUCCAUAGUAGCCUUGGUGGAAGGUUCUGGCUAGGAGGAUUUUUUAAGAUUGGCAAUGAUGCUUCUCAAUUCGUUGGCCCAACCGUAUUGAGCCUCUUGUUAGAGAUUUCGGAAUUUGACACCCCUGAGAAUCUUGUGAGCAACGAGGAAAGUGCUUUCUCCAAGAUGGUUCAGAGUACAGGACCUAGCAAUGCAGAGUAUCUUAAGUCUCUUGUGCUUGGAAAUGGUGAAGAACGGCUGCGGAAGGAAGAAAAUGAGUUGCAAGAUACUCAGAGGAAAUGGGCUGCGUCUAACCGAUGGGCUGUUGCUGCCCAGUUUGCGCUUGCUGCUAGCCUCGCGUCAUCCCACAGUGACCUCCUCUCGUUGGAGGCUGCCGAGGGAAAUAACAUCCUCAGGAAAACAAAGGAUGCAGUAAUCACCCUGCACAGCGUCCUUGAAGGGAAGCACAAUACCGAAAUCGAGGAAUCGCUCACCGAGUAUGAGGUUCUGCUUGAUAGGUGGUCGUCGUCACUCUACAAAGUCAUCCAAGGCCUUGCCACGAUGAGCAAACUGGGUCGCAACCGUCUACGGCAACGGCAACCUGGUUACAGUUUUGAAAACCACGGCUCUAUUGACUGGGAUCAAAUUUAG